AAAAUUUUAAGUUAAAUAAACUAUUAACCUUCAAAGUUUAAUAUAUAUAUAUAAAUUAUAUAAAUUUUA
rnacentral:tRNA from 1 species